ACAGGGCCUGGGAGCGCGGUGCCGAGCUGCCUGCUGUCGUGUGCGUUUUGCGAGCAGGGCUGAGGCGUCGCGGGGGCGGGAGAACUCAGGGAGCAGCGUGUGGCCGUGCCGGCCGCGGGGCCGCUGGGCCGUGCCUUCGGUUUGGGUAGCAGUGCUGGCGGUGCGUGGCUGCGGAGGGCGAUGUGUGUCCGGCAGGAGGAGCUUUGCUCGCUGCUCAACGCGCUGUCCUGUAUUUAUCUACAGAGCCACACACAGGGGGAGGGUAUGGUGGGGUAACCUUCAAGGCCAGGUUGGAUGGGGCCCUGGGCAGCCUGGUCUAGUACCAGAUGUGGAGGUUGGUCGCCCUGCCUGUGGCAGGGGGUUGGAACUUGAAGAUCCUGGGGGUCCAUUCCAACCCAAGCCAUUCUGUUGGGUUCAUUCCUCUCAGCUAGGCUGGAGUUGGCUGAGCUGACUUGUUUCCCUGCCUUCUAAGCAGUGCUUGCUGCGUCACACUGGCUAAUCUUUAUCAACGCUCCCACUUUGUGUGCUGUCUCAGCUGCAGCAACGCCCUCUUCCUGGCUGCUGCUUUGGGGAAAUGGCGUGUAGAGUUCCGUGCACUGAGCAUCAUUGCUGUUUCUGUAGUGCUUUGUGUCACGGACGGGGGAAAUGAUCCAUUUCUCAAAGAGAAGGUGAAUUUCUGUUAAGGGAAAGGGUGGUUAUUGCUGAAAUAAUCCUUACUCCAAAGUGGGAGGAAACACAAUGUGUUGUAUGGUGUGUUAAAUAACUUUGUUUCUCCUUACAGCUGAUUCCUGUGAAAUAAAGUCUUUUAUUCUUUCAAGAAGAUACUCCACUGAGAGGAGUUGGAGAGUUCUGUAGGCUCCCUGGAAGUGUGGGCCAAAGUCCAGUAGUGGUAUAGGUCAGGAAAAAGGAUUUACAAGUUUUUCUUUUCUAAAGUAUUUUGGCUCCUCCUGGAGGUAAGUGCAGUGAAUUUCUCAGGAUAACACCUCACAGUAACUACACAGGCAUGGUGGUCUGUUUUCGCCAUGGUGCAAUCAGAUGGUGAAGGACUGUCACGAGAUGUUAAGUAAUUCACAUCACAAAACCUAAACCUUGGCAUCUUGAAAUAUUUGUUGGUAUUGUAGCAAUAUUUGCCAUUCUUCUAUCUCUUUAAAUCCACAUCAGUCUUGUCAAAGGAUCUGAGCCAGCUUUUUGCCUUCUGCAUCUUCCCACAGAAGGCCUGGUGUCUUAGGGCAGCACAUGCAACUCAUGUAGCUUCUGCACACCCCACCUUAUCCAGUGCUUCAUUCAUCACAGAAGAAAAAAAUAUAAUGCUCUGUUGCUGCUAUAACCUCCGGUUUAGUUUGUACAUCUGAAGAGUUUUGAUUGAAAAGCACUGCUCUCUUUGUUUUAUUUCUCCAUGUGGAUGCUUUCACUUUGCUGAAGGGGAAAAAGAAAAACAGUAUUAUAUGUCAGAACAGUGCUGUCCUUAAACUUUAAGGCUAAGCUUAUGCUUAUGUUUGUGCAGCUGAUACCGAGUAAUGAUGGUAAGUAGUACGAUAGGGUGUGUGUUUUCUACAAACGGCAGAAAACAUGGAUAUAAAAUUGUCCAGGAUAAAUCUGCUGACAUAGCAACUACAUACUUUGCUUUUGUGUGUUCGGUAUCACUGAUACCACUUGCAGUGAUUCCUUCUCUUCCUUCCCCCACCUUGUUUCCAUGCUGCUGCUCUGGGUAGGAGGCAAGGAUCCUGCUUUGCAGAUGAAAUUACUUCCCUGUUUUACUGUGUUUCUUUAUCCGAUAAUGUAGAUGCUGCUGAUGUCUCAGUGAAGAGAGAACUGAGGUGAAAAAGUAAUGAAAGGAAUGCUUGAUGUGCCAGACAAGUAAAAUAGUUUCCUACGUUGUAUAGUUCACUUUCAGGAGUUUGGGGGUACCCGCUAUUUGUCAGGCUAGAUUUUACACAGCUUAGAAGCUUGGAAUGUUAAAUCCUGUGUUAUCUCAAACGUAGGUCAUCAUUUUACACUGUUCAUCUGGAAAUGCUCACACCCACUUACCUUCUGACCCAGCAGGUCUUAACUGUGAGAUCCACAAGAAGCUUAUAGCCAUAUUGCAGAAAUAAGCACUGUCUCAGUGUCCCAUGUGAAAAGACUUAAAGUGACUAAAGAACUGAAGGCCUGCCUUUACUGUGUUUUGAGUACGUGGAUAUACUCUGAUUUAAUGCAUUUUAUGAAAGCUGCUUCAGGUGUUUGUAUGGUCCCGAGCCUGCUAAGCUGUCACAUAUGUCUGCCUUUGCUGUGCCAGCAUCCUACACUGCAGAAACUACAAGUUUUGUUGCAAAAACGAAUUUGGUCUCAGUGCAAUCAGGUAAGCAACCACUCUGUGCCCUGAGAGUAAGGAGAAGCAGCUGGAAGUGGUGGAAGACGGUGCAGAGAACAAGGAUAAGUAGCAACGUGUGAUGCGUUUGCCUUCUGCAAAGAAGCAGUUAGUACAUUUUGUAUGCUUUUCUUGCUUUCAUCGUGGUAAAUUCUUGCUCCUAAUUAAAACCAGAAGAUUUUGUUGUAAAUUCAGCCUUCACUGGAUAACGUACUGGAAACAUGCCUGCAAUCUGCACGAGAAAUGCGUGCAUGUACCAGAUUGGUGUGUACAACAUAUGCAAGAGUGUAAAAGCAUUCCAGGGUAAGUUUUAAGGUGUUUUGGUUUUGUGGAGACACCAUCCACAUCAGCACAGCUCAGAGAGCUGUUAAGAUGUUGGCCUUCUCUCAGGUUGUGUGUACUCACUGUUGGCCCUAUGUAAUUGCCAGCACACAAGUCAGCUGGGUGGGAAGGUUUUCAUAAUGGCUUGUGAAGGUGACACAUGCAAUUUGUAUUUCUCUUGGCACGUAAAUAAGUUUUAAAAUUGCACUUUCUUUGUUGUCUGCAGUCCCUUUGGAUGAAGGGGGAGAGCUGUAGAGUCACAGAGGCACUGCUGCUUGUAGAGCCUGUGAAAAAAAGCAGGUAAAGACGCAUUAAAGUGAGUGCUCUGAUCCUGAGCUUGGAGGAGCUGCCGUGGUGGUUUCCUUCUGUCAUCUACAGAAAUGCUUUGUGCAGUGGUAACAGCUUCAAGCACAAGAAGAGCCUCUUCAGGUGUUGGGGACGUGUAAUGCUACCGAACUGCAGAACAUAAUAUGAGAUGGGGGGUGGACAGGCUACUCCAAGUCAUGGCCUCACAGAAACAGUUUCAGUAGAGAGGAAACCUCACAUUCUCUUGGAACUUCCAUGAAUUUAAGUGAGGACCCAUUGGCAGUGGUGAAACAGGAAAGCAAAGCGCCCGGGGCCUAAGAAGUUCUGGCUUCAGCUGGGAGCUGUACUUUAUUUCUCUGCCUUUUUCAACCUUUUUCAAUCUCUGCGGAACGCUGUAGAACAGAAUCAUAGAAUCACCAAGGUUGAAAGAGGCCUACAAGGUCAUCCAGUCCAACCAUCUACCUAUCACCAGUACUUCUCACUUAGCCACGUUCCUCAGUCUGACCCUUUAAGGGAUGAAAUGGAGGAGGCAUCUGAAAACAGAACGUAAAUCCUUUCCUCAGAAUUGCACAGUUGGGAAUUAUAUCCCUUGUCUACAGAAUAUAGCACAGG
ensembl:lncRNA